rnacentral:rRNA from 1 species
UAGUAAUGGCGAACGAAACGGGAACAGCCCAAAUUUGAAAUCUUUGCAGCAAUGCAACGAGUUGUAAUUUGGAAAAGUGUUGACUUGGCACUAAACUUGGAAAAGUCUGCUGGAAUGCAGCAAAGCUUCGGCUUUCUUUAGGUCAGAGAGGGUGAAAAUCCCGUUACUUCCAAUKGCUUAUUGCCAAAUAUGUUGACGCUUUWAAGAGUAGGAUUGUUUGGGAAUGCGAUCCAAAAUGGGUGGGAAAUUCCAUCUMAGGCGAAAUAUUAUMAAGAGACCGAUAGCGAAMAAGUACCGUGAGGGAAAGAUGAGAAGAACUCUGAAGAGAGAGUUCAAUAUUACGYGAGAUUGCUGAAAGGGAAACGCUUGAGACGAUUGUGAUCACCYCWCCUAUUUUUUUACUAAAAUAGNUGGGGACUCAAAUGAUAARGCUUUUUUCAUUAAACCAAGCGGGAUUGAGGAUCGCCAAGCUUUUUGCGCGUUUUUUAUUCAUGUUUAGCGGCCGUUUAUAAGGCGUUGCUUUGUCAACACUUGUCAGCGUCCGUUAGGCAUUGUUUAAAGACACGUUAGACUUGAAGGUUGCUGUCAAAAUGGUUUUAAUCGACCCGUCUUGAAACACGGACCAAGGAGUGCAACAAACAUGCAAGUCGUAGGGUGUUAAAACCUGAAGGCGCAAUGAAAGUAAAAAGCAAGACAUUUUCUUAACGAAAAUAGCACUGCUGCCCGACUUUGCGGCUUAAAGCCAAAGAGUUUGAGGUUGAGCAUGUUUGCUGCGACCCGAAAGAUGGUGAACUAUGCCUGCAUAGGGCAAAGUCAGAGGAAACUCUGAUGGAGGCUCGUAGCGAUUCUGACGUGCAAAUCGAUCGUCAAAUGUGGGUAUAGGGCGAAAGACU